GUGCCAGCAGCCGCGGUAAUACGUAGGUGGCAAGCGUUGUCCGGAUUUAUUGGGUUUAAAGGGUGCGUAGGCGGCCCUGUAAGUCAGCGGUGAAAUACGGCAGCUCAACUGUCGAGGUGCCGUUGAUACUGCGGGGCUUGAGUGCUGAUGAGGCAGGCGGAAUUGACGGUGUAGCGGUGAAAUGCUUAGAUAUCGUCAAGAACACCGAUAGCGAAGGCAGCCUGCCAAGGAGCAACUGACGCUGAGGCACGAAAGUGCGGGGAUCAAACAGGAUUAGAUACCCUGGUAGUCC
rnacentral:rRNA from 1 species